GCUCAGCUGACGAGUCCCAAAUAGGAUGAAGUGAUGCACGUCCUAAAU
rnacentral:hammerhead_ribozyme from 1 species